GGCCCAGCCACACAUGUUUAUUUGCCAGUGAAGGAGCAGUACACCUGAGAACUUCUGUCUCUGAAGCAAUACACCUGAGAACUUCUACCAGUGUUUGUGAUUUAAUAAAGGUGUGAGGCUCCAGGCUUUUGGCCUUUCCUGUUCCAAUGCAUCCCAGCUUCCCAGCAGAGGAUAGCUGCUGCUGUUCCCUAUUACAGUGCAUUUUCAAGCACUGUAGUACUUGUGCUGGAACCCUGAGGAGAACCUGCUCCCACUGCCUGCGAAUGGUUGUCUCCUGA
rnacentral:lncRNA from 1 species